CUAUCAAACAGCUUAUGUAUGGAAAGCAGAUCGAUAGAAGUAGAGGCAGAUUGACUAAGAGAAUAAGAACAGUACAUAGUGUCCAGGUCCCUACCCUGGCGACUCCCUUGAUCCAGAUCCCGCAGCAAAUCUAAGGCGGAGAACGCCGUCAAGCAUCACCUAAGACCAAAUGAUCUGUGGGACACAGAUCUUGUAGUGGGUAGGAGUUUAAGCAGGCACCCCCUUUCCGCUACCCCACUUCAGCCCUAUUGCCCGCAGAAGUUCAAGUGCCUACAACAAUGUAGCCGAUACACCAUAACACCAGCAGCAACAGCGAAGAGCUGGAAUAUCAUCCAUCGUUGGUUCGACACCAACAACAGAGCAGCGGUAGCAGUGUGCCGACAGAAAUGCGCCGCCCGCCCAUAGCAUGCCCAUUUCAGCAAUAACAUGACGCCUCUCUGGAACAAAUGAAAACUGCAGCGCCAGCAACUUGAACUGAGCAACAAUGUUGGGCUGAAAUUUUUUACGCUGCUGCUCUGCCAGCAUCGAAAAUAUGCUGAUGGAUAUGGCGAAACGCAGAUCGGCCACACUUUUAAAACUGCUCUGAUAUUUUAUUCAUUUUUGAAAAUUUCUAUUGAUAUGCCAAAAAACUUUUUGCCACGCCAACACGAACCGGCGUUCGCCGCUCAAAAAUGCCACGCUCACACUUUUAAAAAUGUUUUGUUAUUUUUUCAUAUGUAUGUUAGUCUUGUUAAUUUCUAUCGAUUAAACAAAAAUCUGUCACACGUUUGAAAAA